rnacentral:rRNA from 1 species
CUACGGAGGAUCCAAGCGUUAUCCGGAAUCAUUGGGUUUAAAGGGUCCGUAGGUGGAUAAUUAAGUCAGAGGUGAAAUCCUGUAGCUCAACUGUAGAAUUGCCUUUGAAACUGGUUAUCUUGAGUCAUUAUGAAGUGGUUAGAAUGUGUAGUGUAGCGGUGAAAUGCAUAGAUAUUACACAGAAUACCGAUUGCGAAGGCAGAUCACUAAUAAUGUACUGACACUGAUGGACGAAAGCGUGGGUAGCGAACAGGAUUAGAAACCCUAGUAGUCC